rnacentral:rRNA from 1 species
AGAGUUUGAUCCUGGCUCAGGAUGAACGCUAGCGAUAGGCUUAACACAUGCAAGUCGAGGGGCAGCAUGGUCUUAGCUUGCUAAGACUGAUGGCGACCGGCGCACGGGUGCGUAACGCGUAUGCAACUUGCCUCACAGAGGGGGAUAACCCGUCGAAAGACGGACUAAUACCGCGUACACUCCAUCUUGGGCAUCCAAGGUAGAGGAAAUGAAAUUCGCUGUGAGAUAGGCAUGCGUCCCAUUAGCUAGUUGGUGAGGUAACGGCUCACCAAGGCGACGAUGGGUAGGGGAACUGAGAGGUUGAACCCCCACACUGGUACUGAGACACGGACCAGACUCCUACGGGAGGCAGCAGUGAGGAAUAUUGGUCAAUGGGCGAGAGCCUGAACCAGCCAAGUCGCGUGAAGGAUGACUGUCUUAUGGAUUGUAAACUUCUUUUAUACGGGAAUAACAAGAGCCACGUGUGGCUCCCUGCAUGUACCGUAUGAAUAAGCAUCGGCUAACUCCGUGCCAGCAGCCGCGGUAAUACGGAGGAUGCGAGCGUUAUCCGGAUUUAUUGGGUUUAAAGGGUGCGUAGGCGGCCUGUUAAGUCAGCGGUGAAAUCUAGGAGCUUAACUCCUAAAUUGCCAUUGAUACUGGCGGGCUUGAGUGUAGAUGAGGUAGGCGGAAUGCGUGGUGUAGCGGUGGAAUGCAUAGAUAUCACGCAGAACUCCGAUUGCGAAGGCAGCUUACUAAGGUACAACUGACGCUGAAGCACGAAAGCGUGGGUAUCAAACAGGAUUAGAUACCCUGGUAGUCCACGCAGUAAACGAUGAUAACUGGGCGUAUGCGAUAUACAGUAUGCUCCUAAGCGAAAGCGUUAAGUUAUCCACCUGGGGAGUACGCCGGCAACGGUGAAACUCAAAGGAAUUGACGGGGGCCC